UGCUGGGUGGUGUAGUGGUAACGUCCCCUCCACGGUAAGGAGGGUGCCACAGGCUCGAAUCCUGUCCCGGCAA
rnacentral:tRNA from 1 species